AACGAACGCUGGCGGCAGGCUUAACACAUGCAAGUCGAACGAGGUCUUCGGACCUAGUGGCAGACGGGUGAGGAACACGUGGGAACAUCCCUUUCAGUUCGGAAUAACGUUGGGAAACUAACGCUAAUACCGGAUACGUCCUUCGGGAGAAAGAUUUAUCGCUGAAAGAUUGGCCCGCGUCUGAUUAGCUAGUUGGUGAGGUAACGGCUCACCAAGGCUACGAUCAGUAGCUGAUCUGAGAGGAUGAUCAGCCACAUUGGGACUGAGACACGGCCCAAACUCCUACGGGAGGCAGCAGUGGGGAAUAUUGGACAAUGGGCGCAAGCCUGAUCCAGCCAUGCCGCGUGAGUGAUGACGGCCUUCGGGUUGUAAAGCUCUUUUGUCCGGGAAGAUAAUGACUGUACCGGAAGAAUAAGCCCCGGCAAACUUCGUGCCAGCAGCCGCCGUAA
rnacentral:rRNA from 1 species